UGCCAAAGGAAAGGAAGUUGCCUAAUAAUUAUGCACAUCUGAUAUAGGGUGUUGAUGUCAUUAGACCACACCCCUUCUCAUUACAGAGAUGCACAUCACCUAAUAUGCUUAAUUGGUAGUAGGCUUUCGAGCCUAUACAGCUUGGAGUAAGACAACAUGCAUAAAGAGGAUGAUGUGGUCAAAAUACUCAUUUGCCUAAUAAUUCUGCACUCCCUGUAUUAAAGGUAUAUUGUAGAGUUAGGGAUUAUUUUUAGAGGUAUAGUUAGGGUUAAGGAUUAUUAUUAGAGGUAUAGUUAGAAUUUGGGAUUAUUAUUAGAGGUAUAGUUAGUGUUAUUGAUUAUUAUUAGAUGUAUAGUUAGAGUUAAGGAUUAUUAUUAGAGGUGUAGUUAGGGUUAAGGAUUAUUAUUAGAGGUAUAGUUAGUGUUAGGUAUUAUUAUUAGAGGUAUAGUUAGGGAUUAUUAUUAGAGGUAUAGUUAGAGUUAGGGAUUAUUAUUAUAGGUAUAGUUAGGGUUAGGGAUUAUUAUUAGAGGUAUAGUUAGAGUUAGGAAUUAUUAUUAGAGAUAUAGUUAGAGUUAGGGAUUAUUAUUAGAGGUACAGUUAGUGUUAGGGAUUAUUAUUAGAGGUACAGUUAGUGUUAGGGAUUAUUAUUAGAGGUAUAGUUAGUGUUAGGGCUUAUUAUUAGAUGUAUAGUUAUGAUUAAGGAUUAUUAUUAGAGGUAUAGUUAGAAUUAGGGAUUAUUAUUAAAUGUAUAGUUAGUGUUAGGGAUUAUUAUUAGAGGUAUAGUUAUGGUUAAGGAUUAUUUUUAGAGGUAUAGUUAGGGUUAAGGAUUAUUAUUAGAGGUAUAGUUAGAAUUUGGGAUUAUUAUUAGAGGUAUAGUUACUGUUAGUGAUUAUUAUUAGAUGUAUAGUUAGAGUUAAGGAUUAUUAUUAGAGGUGUAGUUAGGGUUAAGGAUUAUUAUUAGAGGUAUAGUUAGUGUUAGGUGUUAUUAUUCGAGGUAUAGUUAGGGAUUAUUAUUAUAGGUAUAGUUAGGGUUAGGGAUUAUUAUUAGAGGUAUAGUUAGAGUUAGGAAUUAUUAUUAGAGAUAUAGUUAGAGUUAGGGAUUAUUAUUAGAGGUACAGUUAGUGUUAGGGAUUAUUAUUAGAGGUACAGUUAGUGUUAGGGAUUAUUAUUAAAUGUAUAGUUAGUGUUAGGGAUUAUUAUUAGAGGUAUAGUUAUGGUUAAGGAUUAUUAUUAGAGGUAUAGUUAGAGUUAGGGAUUAUUAUUAGAGGUAUAGUUAGGGUUAAGGAUUAUUAUUAGAGGUAUAGUUAGAAUUUGGGAUUAUUAUUAGAUGUAUAGUUAGUGUUAGGGAUUAUUAUUAGAGGUAUAGUUAUGGUUAAGGAUUAUUAUUAGAGGUAUAGUUAGAGUUAGGGAUUAUUAUUAGAGGUAUAGUUAGGGUUAAGGAUUAUUAUUAGAGGUAUAGUUAGAAUUUGGGAUUAUUAUUAGAUGUAUAGUUAGAGUUAGGGAUUAUUAUUAGAGGUAUAGUUAGUGUUAGGUAUUAUUAUUAGAGGUAUAGUUAGGGAUUAUUAUUAGAGGUAUAUUUAGAGUUAGGGAUUAUUAUUAGAGGUAUGGUUAAGGAUUAUUAUUAGAGGUAUAGUUAGGGUUAAGGAUUAUUAUUAGAGGUAUAAUUAGUGUUAGGGAUUAUUAUUAGAGGUAUAGUUAGAGUUAAGGAUUAUUAUUAGAGGUGUAGUUAGAGUUAGGAAUUAUUAUUAGAGGUAUAGUUAGUGUUAGGGAUUAUUAUUAGAGGUAUAGUUAGGGAUUAUUAUUAGAGGUAUAGUUAGAGUUGGGGAUUAUUAUUAAAAGUAUAGUUAGGGUUAAGGAUUAUUUUUAGAGGUAUAGUUAGGGUUAAGGAUUAUUUUUAGUAAAGGUAUUGUUAGGGAUUAUUAUUAGAGGUAUAGUUAGUGUUAGGGAUUAUUAUUAGAUCUAUAGUUAUGGUUAAGGAUUAUUAUUAGAGGUAUAGUUAGAGUUAGGAAUUAUAUUUAGAGGUAUAGUUAGGGUUAAGGAUUAUUAUUAGAGGUAUGGUUAAAGUUAAGGAUUAUUAUUAGAGGUAUAGUUAGAGUUAGGGAUUAAUAUUAGAGGUUUAGUUAGGGUAAGGGAUUAUUAUUAGAUGUAUAGUUAUGAUUAAGGAUUAUUAUUAGAGGUAUAGUUUGAGUAAAGGAUUAUUAGUAGAGGUAUAGUUAGAGUUAGGAAUUAUUAUUAGAGAUAUAGUUAGAGUUAGGGAUUAUUAUUAGAGGUAUAGUUAGUGUUAGGGAUUAUUAUUAGAUGUAUAGGUAGUGUUAGGGAUUAUUAUUAGAUGUAUAGUUAUGAUUAAGGAUUAUUAUUAGAGGUAUAGUUAGAGUUAGGGAUUAUUAUUAGAGGUAUAGUUAUGGUUAAGGAUUCUUAUUAGAGGUAUAGUUAGGGUUAGGUAUUAUUAUUAAAGGUAUAGUUAGAGUUAGGAAUUAUUAUUAUAGGUAUAGUUAGAGUUAGGGAUUAUUAUUAGAGGUAUAGUUAGUGUUAGGGAUUAUUAUUAGAGGUAUAGUUAGAGUUAGGGAUUAUUAUUAGAGGUAUAGUUAGAGUUAGGGAUUAUUAUUAGAGGUAUAGUUAGAGUUAGGGAUUAUUAUUAGAGGUAUAGUUAGGGAUUAUUAUUAGAGGUAUAGUUAGAGUUAGGGAUUAUUAUUAGAGGUAUAGUUAGAGUUAGGGAUUAUUAUUAGAGGUAUAGUUAGGGAUUAUUAUUAGAUGUAUAGUUAGAGUUAGGGAUUAUUAUUAUUAUAGGUAUAGUUAGGGUUAGGGAUUAUUAUUAGAGGUAUAGUUAGAGUUAGGAAUUAUUAUUAGAGAUAUAGUUAGAGUUAGGGAUUAUUAUUAGAGGUAUAGUUAGUGUUAGGGAUUAUUAUUAGAGGUAUAGUUAGAGUUAGGGAUUAUUAUUAGAGGUAUAGUUAGAGUUAGGGAUUAUUAUUAGAGGUAUAGUUAGGGAUUAUUAUUAGAGGUAUAGUUAGGGAUUAUUAUUAGAGGUAUAGUUAGAGUUAGGGAUUAUUAUUAUAGGUAUAGUUAGAGUUAGGGAUUAUUAUUAGAGGUAUAGUUAGGGAUUAUUAUUAGAGGUAUAGUUAGAGUUAGGGAUUAUUAUUAUUAUAGGUAUAGUUAGGGUUAGGGAUUAUUAUUAGAGGUAUAGUUAGAGUUAGGAAUUAUUAUUUGAGAUAUAGUUAGAGUUAGGGAUUAUUAUUAGAGGUAUAGUUAGUGUUAGGGAUUAUUAUUAGAUGUAUAAUUAUGGUUAAGGAUUAUUAUUAAAGGUAUAGUUAGAGUUAGAGAUUAUUAUUAGAGGUAUUGUUAGGGUUAGGGAUUAUUAUUCGAGAUAUAGUUAGAGUUAGGGAUUAUUAUUAGAGGUAUAGUUAGAGUUAGGGAUUAUUAUUUUAGGUAUAGUUAGAGUUAGGGAUUAUUAUUAGAGGUAUUGUUAGGGUUAGGGAUUAUUAUUAGAGGUAUGGUUAAGGAUUAUUAUUAGAGGUAUAGUUAGGGUUAAGGAUUAUUAUUAGAGGUAUAAUUAGUGUUAGGGAUUAUUAUUAGAGGUAUAGUUAGAGUUAAGGAUUAUUAUUAGAGGUGUAGUUAGAGUUAGGGAUUUUUAUUAGAUGUAUAGUUAGGGAUUAUUAUUAGAGGUAUAGUUAGAGUUAGGAAUUAUUAUUAGAGAUAUAGUUAGAGUUAGGGAUUAUUAUUAGAGGUAUAGUUAGUGUUAGGGAUUAUUAUUAGAUGUAUAGGUAGUGUUAGGGAUUAUUAUUAGAUGUAUAGUUAUGAUUAAGGAUUAUUAUUAGAGGUAUAGUUAGAGUUAGGGAUUAUUAUUAGAGGUAUAGUUAUGGUUAAGGAUUCUUAUUAGAGGUAUAGUUAGGGUUAGGUAUUAUUAUUAAAGGUAUAGUUAGAGUUAGGAAUUAUUAUUAUAGGUAUAGUUAGGGUUAGGGAUUAUUAUUAGAGGUAUAGUUAGAGUUAGGAAUUAUUAUUAGAGAUAUAGUUAGAGUUAGGGAUUAUUAUUAGAGGUAUAGUUAGUGUUAGGGAUUAUUAUUAGAGGUAUAGUUAGAGUUAGGGAUUAUUAUUAGAGGUAUAGUUAGAGUUAGGGAUUAUUAUUAGAGGUAUAGUUAGGGAUUAUUAUUAGAGGUAUAGUUAGGGAUUAUUAUUAGAGGUAUAGUUAGAGUUAGGGAUUAUUAUUAGAGGUAUAGUUAGAGUUAGGGAUUAUUAUUAGAGGUAUAGUUAGGGAUUAUUAUUAGAUGUAUAGUUAGAGUUAGGGAUUAUUAUUAUUAUAGGUAUAGUUAGGGUUAGGGAUUAUUAUUAGAGGUAUAGUUAGAGUUAGGAAUUAUUAUUAGAGAUAUAGUUAGAGUUAGGGAUUAUUAUUAGAGGUAUAGUUAGUGUUAGGGAUUAUUAUUAGAGGUAUAGUUAGAGUUAGGGAUUAUUAUUAGAGGUAUAGUUAGAGUUAGGGAUUAUUAUUAGAGGUAUAGUUAGGGAUUAUUAUUAGAGGUAUAGUUAGGGAUUAUUAUUAGAGGUAUAGUUAGAGUUAGGGAUUAUUAUUAUAGGUAUAGUUAGAGUUAGGGAUUAUUAUUAGAGGUAUAGUUAGGGAUUAUUAUUAGAGGUAUAGUUAGAGUUAGGGAUUAUUAUUAUUAUAGGUAUAGUUAGGGUUAGGGAUUAUUAUUAGAGGUAUAGUUAGAGUUAGGAAUUAUUAUUUGAGAUAUAGUUAGAGUUAGGGAUUAUUAUUAGAGGUAUAGUUAGUGUUAGGGAUUAUUAUUAGAUGUAUAAUUAUGGUUAAGGAUUAUUAUUAAAGGUAUAGUUAGAGUUAGAGAUUAUUAUUAGAGGUAUUGUUAGGGUUAGGGAUUAUUAUUCGAGAUAUAGUUAGAGUUAGGGAUUAUUAUUAGAGGUAUAGUUAGAGUUAGGGAUUAUUAUUUUAGGUAUAGUUAGAGUUAGGGAUUAUUAUUAAAGGUAUAGUUAGAGUUAGGGAUUAUUAUUAGAGGUAUUGUUAGGGUUAGGGAUUAUUAUUAGAGGUAUGGUUAAGGAUUAUUAUUAGAGGUAUAGUUAGGGUUAAGGAUUAUUAUUAGAGGUAUAAUUAGUGUUAGGGAUUAUUAUUAGAGGUAUAGUUAGAGUUAAGGAUUAUUAUUAGAGGUGUAGUUAGAGUUAGGAAUUAUUAUUAGAGGUAUAGUUAGUGUUAGGGAUUAUUAUUAGAGGUAUAGUUAGAGUUGGGGAUUAUUAUUAAAAGUAUAGUUAGGGUUAAGGAUUAUUUUUAGAGGUAUAGUUAGGGUUAAGGAUUAUUUUUAGUAAAGGUAUUGUUAGGGAUUAUUAUUAGAGGUAUAGUUAGUGUUAGGGAUUAUUAUUAGAUCUAUAGUUAUGGUUAAGGAUUAUUAUUAGAGGUAUAGUUAGAGUUAGGAAUUAUAUUUAGAGGUAUAGUUAGGGUUAAGGAUUAUUAUUAGAGGUAUGGUUAAAGUUAAGGAUUAUUAUUAGAGGUAUAGUUAGAGUUAGGGAUUAAUAUUAGAGGUUUAGUUAGGGUAAGGGAUUAUUAUUAGAUGUAUAGUUAUGAUUAAGGAUUAUUAUUAGAGGUAUAGUUUGAGUAAAGGAUUAUUAGUAGAGGUAUAGUUAGAGUUAGGAAUUAUUAUUAGAGAUAUAGUUAGAGUUAGGGAUUAUUAUUAGAGGUAUAGUUAGUGUUAGGGAUUAUUAUUAGAUGUAUAGGUAGUGUUAGGGAUUAUUAUUAGAUGUAUAGUUAUGAUUAAGGAUUAUUAUUAGAGGUAUAGUUAGGGUUAGGUAUUAUUAUUAAAGGUAUAGUUAGAGUUAGGAAUUAUUAUUAUAGCUAUAGUUAGGGUUAGGGAUUAUUAUUAGAGGUAUAGUUAGAGUUAGGAAUUAUUAUUAGAGAUAUAGUUAGAGUUAGGGAUUAUUAUUAGAGGUAUAGUUAGUGUUAGGGAUUAUUAUUAGAGGUAUAGUUAGAGUUAGGGAUUAUUAUUAGAGGUAUAGUUAGAGUUAGGGAUUAUUAUUAGAGGUAUAGUUAGGGAUUAUUAUUAGAUGUAUAGUUAGAGUUAGGGAUUAUUAUUAUUAUAGGUAUAGUUAGGGUUAGGGAUUAUUAUUAGAGGUAUAGUUAGAGUUAGGAAUUAUUAUUAGAGAUAUAGUUAGAGUUAGGGAUUAUUAUUAGAGGUAUAGUUAGUGUUAGGGAUUAUUAUUAGAGGUAUAGUUAGAGUUAGGGAUUAUUAUUAGAGGUAUAGUUAGAGUUAGGGAUUAUUAUUAGAGGUAUAGUUAGGGAUUAUUAUUAGAGGUAUAGUUAGGGAUUAUUAUUAGAGGUAUAGUUAGAGUUAGGGAUUAUUAUUAUAGGUAUAGUUAGAGUUAGGGAUUAUUAUUAGAGGUAUAGUUAGGGAUUAUUAUUAGAGGUAUAGUUAGAGUUAGGGAUUAUUAUUAUUAUAGGUAUAGUUAGGGUUAGGGAUUAUUAUUAGAGGUAUAGUUAGAGUUAGGAAUUAUUAUUUGAGAUAUAGUUAGAGUUAGGGAUUAUUAUUAGAGGUAUAGUUAGUGUUAGGGAUUAUUAUUAGAUGUAUAGGUAGUGUUAGGGAUUAUUAUUAGAUGUAUAGUUAUGAUUAAGGAUUAUUAUUAGAGGUAUAGUUAGAGUUAGAGAUUAUUAUUAGAGGUAUUGUUAGGGUUAGGGAUUAUUAUUCGAGAUAUAGUUAGAGUUAGGGAUUAUUAUUAGAGGUAUAGUUAGAGUUAGGGAUUAUUAUUUUAGGUAUAGUUAGAGUUAGGGAUUAUUAUUAAAGGUAUAGUUAGAGUUAGGGAUUAUUAUUAGAGGUAUUGUUAGGGUUAGGGAUUAUUAUUAGAGGUAUAGUUAUGGUUAAAGGGACACUGUACCCAAAAAAAUUCUUUCGUGAUUCAGAUAGAGCAUGACAUUUUAAGCAACUUUCUAAUUUACUCCUAUUAUCAAAUUUUCUUCAUUCUCUUGGUAUCUUUAUUUGAAAUGCAAGAAAGUAAGUUUAGAUGUCGGCCCAUUUUUGGUGAUCAACCUGGGUUGUUCUUGCUGAUUGGUGGAUAAACUCAUCCACUAAUAAAAAGUGCUGUCUAUAGUUCUGAAUUUAAAAAAAGCUUAGAUGUCUUCUUUUUAAAAUAAAGAUAGCAAGAGAAUGAAGAAAAAUUGAUAAUAGGAAUAAAUUAGAAAGUGGCUUAAAAUUGCAUGCUCUAUCUGAAUCAUGAAAGAAAACAUUUGGGUUCAGUGUCCCUUUAAGGAUUAUUAUUAUAGGUAUAGUUAGAGUUAGGGAUUAUUAUUAGAUGUAUAGUUAGUGUUAGGGAUUAUUAUUAGAGGUAUAGUUAGGGUUAAGGAUUAUUAUUAGAGGUGUAGUUAGAAUUUGGGAUUAUUAUUAGAUGUAUAGUUAGAGUUAGGGAUUAUUAUUAGAGGUUUAGUUAGGGUAAGGGAUUAUUAUUAGAUGUAUAAUUAGUGUUAGGGAUUAUUAUUAGAUGUAUAGUUAUGGUUAUUAUUAUUAUUAUCGGUUAUUUGUAGAGCGCCAACAGAUUCUGCAGCGCUAUAAACAAAGGGGGAGUACAACAAAACAAUUAUAGGGUAGAGGGCCCUGCCAAGAGUUGCACUGUUGUAGUCAGCUCUUAAGAAGGUGAUCUACAAACAGCUGGACUCUAAGGCUUACAUGCUAAGAGGGUUCAGGGGAUUGCAGUGGAGGAGAGGAACUGGUAUUAGGAAAGGUUAGCGUAGGUUGUAUGCGUCCCUGAACAGUAGAGUCUUUAGGGAGCACUUGAAGCUUUUAAAACUAGAAGAGAGUCUUGUGGAGCGAGGCAGAGAGUUCCACAAGAUGGGAGCCAGUCUUGAGAAGUCCUGUAAACGGGAGUGUGAUGAGGUGACAAGAGAGGAGGAGAGUAGGAGGUCAUGAGCAGAGCGAAGGGGAUGGGAGGGAGAGUAUCUGGAGACAAGGUCUGAGAUGUAGGGGGGAGCAGUGCAGUUGAGGGCUUUGUAUGUAAGAGUGAGAGUUUUGUGUUUGAUCCUAGAGGCAAGAGGAAGCCAGUGAAGGGAUUAGCAGAGAGGCGCAGAAGAUGAAGAGUGACGUGUAAGGAAGAUGAGUCUGGCAGAGGCAUUCAUUAUGGAUUGUAAAGGAGCUAGGCGGCAGGUGGGGAGACCAGAGAGGACAGAGUUGCAGUAAUCAAUGCGGGAAAGAAUGAGAGAGUGGAUUCAAAUCUUAGUUGUGUCUUGUGUAAGGAAGUGUCUAAUUUUAGAGAUGUUUUUAAGGUGGAAGCGGCAGGCUGUAGCCAAGGACUGAAUGUGAGGAGUGAAGGAAAGAUCUGAGUCAAAUGUGACCCCGAGACAUCGGGCAUACGGGGUAGGGGUAAUGAUGGAGUUGUCGACAGUUAUAGAGAUAUUGGGGAUGGAGAUUUUGGAAGAAGGGGGGAAAAACAUAAUUUAUGUAAAAACUUACCUGAUAAAUUCAUUUCUUUCAUAUUAGCAAGAGUCCAUGAGCUAGUGACGUAUGGGAUAUAC